AUUAAUUAGCUAUUUGUAUCGUACAAAUGUUUACCCGGUUUCUAAAGUUAUCCUCGCUUUGAACUUCGCGAGUGUCAGCUAAUGCCUGUCCUUAAACAAAAGUCAAGGAAUUACACCAAAUACUUUAAAAACAGGCUGGAGCCCAGCAUCAGCCAUUCAACGAAUCGUAAUAUUUUAAAAAUAGAACAUGUUUAUUCAAUAUCUCCUUCUCGUAUCUGUUAUUGUUGUUUUGGGAAGCGACGUCAAUCACAUUUCUUCAGGAGAGAACCACCAGGCUUCGUUCAAGCGUAAACAUCUAGUCAUACAUAAAAGAGAAGUAGAGGCGAACCCGAACAUAGCACCCAACCCACAACCCCAAUCCAUUGGCCAAUCCAAUCCUCAAGUUGAAAUCAAUCCCAAAGCCAAACUGCACAAAUGGACCUUCUAUGACAUCCUCAUCGUAAUAUUCCUGGUUUUGUGGUGUUAUAUGUAAGAAUGAGCCUGUAUAAAAGAGAUGGAGACAACUGCUGCUUCGGGUGCAAGUGGGGGAGGACAACCAAUGAAAGGCCCGAAACCAGGAUCGGGAUCCUUAAUCAACAAGAAACUGAAACAUAGAUCUGUGUAAAAACGAAUCAUUCAUUUUUCGCUAUCAUCAUUUUUAUAUCACAAGUGCUUUUUACUUCACAUCUUUUCAA